CUGAAGCUCUUUUGAUUCAUUUUUCUGCAACAGAAGUUAUAUUAUUGCAGGAUUCACCCAGAAAGAUGCUGCGGCUGGUGCUUAUGAGAAGGGAGAGGAAACCAAAACCUUCAUAAACCUGCCGAUUAAUAAAUGCUCUGGUGGCACAUGACGUACUGCACAAGCCAUGCUGCUCUGCUUGCAUCCACAGAGUGGGAGUGCCCAAGGGUGUUCUACUCCUCCAUAACACCGAGAUGAUCAGAGUCCUGGCAGGGCAGCAGUCUGUCCAAGUGCCAGCAGAGAAGCUCCCACCUGACAGC
rnacentral:lncRNA from 1 species